ACCUAUAAUGUUAUACCAGAUCUAUUGUGGGUGUGCAUUGCGGUGUGCAUUUCAGCGCAUUCCACCGGGACGUGUGCACCUAAGGAUCCUUAAAAUAAACACCAAG